UUCUUUAGGAUUUCAUAGUAGUUUAAAAAUGAGGUACUGGGUUUUUUGCAAAUUUUAAAGGAGGUACUUCAUAAUGAGUACAGGUAAAGUAAAAUGGUUUAAAUCUGAUAAAGGAUUUGGUUUCAUCACUCUUGAAGGUGAAAACAAAGAUGUAUUCGUACAUUUUUCAGCUAUCAACACUGAUGGUUUCAAAACUUUAGAAGAAGGACAAACUGUUGAAUUCGAUAUCGUUGAAGGAGACAGAGGUCCUCAAGCUGCUAACGUAACAGUUAUUGGGUAAACCAAAAAAGCACUCUGAGAGUGCUUUUUAUA
rnacentral:sRNA from 1 species